AUCUAGCGGGAGGACCAUCAGUCUGCGGAGGACCUAUUAAUGCGCGGACGAACACACCCCGGCCCCCCCGUGCCCGGAACCAGGCGCCCGCCGGAGGACCACAAACCAUGUCUUACUAUAGUGGUAUCAUCUGAGUGGCACAAACAAAUAAAUCAAAACUUUCAACAACGGAUCUCUUGGUUCUGGCAUCGAUGAAGAACGCAGCGAAAUGCGAUAAGUAAUGUGAAUUGCAGAAUUCAGUGAAUCAUCGAAUCUUUGAACGCACAUUGCGCCCGCCAGUAUUCUGGCGGGCAUGCCUGUUCGAGCGUCAUUUCAACCCUCGCGCCCCUUCUGGGAACGCGGUGUUGGGGACCGGCACAACCCGCCUCCUUGGCGGGCGCCGCCCCCGAAAUACAGUGGCGGUCUCGCUGCAGCCUCCCUUGCGUAGUAGCACAACCUCGCACCGGAGCGCAGCGCGGCCACGCCGUAAAACCCCCGACUCUCCUGAGUUUGACCUCGGAUCAGGUAGGAAUACCCGCUGAACUUAAGCAUAUCAAUAAGCGGAGGAAA
rnacentral:rRNA from 1 species